rnacentral:tRNA from 2 species
CGGGGCAUAGUGAAAUGGUUCUCACGCGUGCUUUGGGAGCAUGAGUUCCGAGUCCGAUUCUCGGUGCCCCGA